CUAUAUAUAGAUAUAUACUUAUGAUGAAAAAAAUAUAUUAGUGAAUCUUAUGUUUAAAAGAAAGAAAAGAAAACUGCAGGAACUUUCAGGAAAUGAAAUUUCUUUACGUAUAACCUUAUUGAGGUACCUUUUCCAAUUCAUCUACGAACUUAAAUACAUCUUUGUUUCCUGUCAUAUAAAGAGUCCGUAAGAUAGACAAGCAUUCGUCUACCAGGAAUUGUUAUUUAGUAGAAUUAAUAUACAUGACAUAUACAUGAAAAAUUACCGUUAACAAAUUUAUUCUGGGAUAUCUGUCAAAACUUAUGAGACAUUCUAAAGCAGAAUUAGAAAUUGUGGACCAGUUAUCUUUAUUCAGAAUGGCUCCACCGUCAUCGAGACAAAUAUAAAGACACUCUUCGUCAUUCGAGUUUGUUACAUUACUGCAAUAAAAUAAUAAAACAGUAUAUACACGACAAAAAUGGAAAUGUAGAAAAGGUAACAGCCAGGCCCGGAACAACACGAUCAGAUACAAGAUCACAAUAUAUGCCAAGUCUUCUUGCAACGCUCUGAAAUAUGACUAUCAGCGGUACAAUGCGGUCUUUAUACUCCUGUCAUAAUUUAAGAAACAAAAAUAUUAACAUUUAUAAGAAAUAAUAAAUAUGAAGCUAUAGAUAUAGCAUAAGCUGA
rnacentral:lncRNA from 1 species